GGCUUCCACUCAUUGUCACCCGCCGGGAAGAUUUGAUCACAGAAACGUGUCCCGGUUUCUGCCUGGUGGUCACCGAGCUUCCGUGUUGUAAAUAAGCAGGACAUUUUUUACCCGACGGCUUCCUGUCGUGGGAGGCGGGUCUUUGGUUUUCACUCCAGAGUCCAGAGAUCCUCCCCAACGACGCCUGAGGAGCAAUUCAGUGGCGACAAAGAGAAGCACCCGCUUGUGUCGGCGGCCUGCUGACCCGUUGGGCGCGGUGGGGGCGGCGACCGCCGACCGCUGGUCCUCACGCUGCAGUGAGAAGCUGCUGCGUCGCUCAGUGAUGAAGAGUUGGAUCCACC
ensembl:lncRNA